UCCGUGAUAGUUUAGUGGCUAGAAUCACCGUUUGUCGCGAAUUUUGUUCUGACAGUACAUGGUAGACCGGGGUUCAAUUCCCCGUCGCGGAG
rnacentral:tRNA from 1 species